UACGGGGGGGGCAAGCGUUGUUCGGAAUUACUGGGCGUAAAGGGCUCGUAGGCGGCCAACUAAGUCAGACGUGAAAUCCCUCGGCUUAACCGGGGAACUGCGUCUGAUACUGGAUGGCUUGAGUUUGGGAGAGGAUGCGGAAUUCCAGGUGUAGCGGUGAAAUGCGUAGGAUAUCUGGAGGAACACCGGUGGCGAAGGCGGCGUUCUGGACUGACAAC
rnacentral:rRNA from 1 species